rnacentral:rRNA from 1 species
GAUGAACGCUGGCUACAGGCUUAACACAUGCAAGUCGAGGGGAAACGACGGGGAAGCUUGCUUCCCCGGGCGUCGACCGGCGCACGGGUGAGUAACGCGUAUCCAACCUGCCUCUGACUGAGGGAUAACCCGUCGAAAGUCGGCCUAAUACCUCAUGGCAUCGUCUGCGGGCAUCCAACGACGAUUAAAGAUUUCAUCGGUCAGGGAUGGGGAUGCGUCUGAUUAGCUUGUUGGCGGGGUAACGGCCCACCAAGGCUACGAUCAGUAGGGGUUCUGAGAGGAAGGUCCCCCACAUUGGAACUGGGACACGGUCCAAACGCCUACGGGAGGCAGCAGUGAGGAAUAUUGGUCAAUGGGCGGGAGCCUGAACCAGCCAAGUAGCGUGCAGGAUGACGGCCCUAUGGGUUGUAAACUGCUUUUAUGCGGGGAUAAAGUGAGGGACGUGUCCUUCAUUGCAGGUACCGCAUGAAUAAGGACCGGCUAAUUCCGUG